rnacentral:lncRNA from 1 species
GGAGGACAUAAUUUAUCUUUGCUGCAGCAUACAAACUGGAGGUAUCUAUGGAAAUGUGUCAUGCUUCCAAGCAGUGUCUAUUAUAUCUGUGGCAAUGAAAAAAAAAAAUGAUGAGAAUCACAAUUUUUAAGGCAGAGGGGAAAUGUGUGUUGAAAAGUUUGGGUUGUCUGAAACCUUCCCUUCGGCAGCCAACAGAGGUGAAGCACUUAUGUGCCACUGAGGUUCCCUUGAACCACUACUUCAAUAUUUAUACAAAUAGGGCUGGAACCCUAGAAAAUUGGCCAUAAACAAUAGCAGAGAAUGGCAUUAUUACCAUUUGUCCAAAGUGUCAACAUAAGACUUUCCAUCUCUGCUGCUUCAAUAGCUCAUCAAUUACCAAG